UCAGCUGUAGAUGUAAUCUUCAUGGCAGAGGUACCAAUCAUAAUGUUGUCAUAAUUAUGAGGCUGUGCCACAUAUGAUGUAUCGUUACGCAAUCCAGCAUUAAGAUUACUAUUCCUUGUGGCUGGUCGUGGCAUCUGGGAUGAUGAUGGUGAUGCAGCAUUAUUGCCAACAUUUCUACGUGCGAAUGAAUCCUCAACAUAAUUGUACUGUUUGUUGUUGGAAACAUCAUUGUAAGGUGACCAGUUCUUCAUAACUAACCGCUGCUGUGGUCUACCACCACUAGGGGCUACAUUCUCUCUGCGCUUUUGUAGCUCAUUGUUCCUAUUAUCUGGCCCUUUGAAUGCUACUGAAGUUUUCUUGGAC
rnacentral:lncRNA from 1 species